UUGUGAAGAGAUUGCAAAAUGGCGGCUCCUCGUGUAAAACUGGAUGCGGAAUCUGUACCGUGGAAGUGAUGCUGUAUCGUGAUGGUUGACUUACAAACUGGUGUCGUCUGUAUUCGGUUGAAAUCUGCUGAAGUGAAGUGAUAUGUAUAACCCACCACAUUCACGCGAUUUUCUGCGAAAGCGUCUCGUCAUCCCAUCUGUCCGACGGCUCGCAAGAUGGCGUCGUCAUCGAUGGCGUGUGAGCCGGGAGCGACACGUGGCGUCAACACCGCAUAAAUUGAACCAUUGCCAUUUGCUACGGCAUUAUGAAGGCUUCUGCUUAUGAUGCAGCGUAACUGUCGUCGUUUGCUGAAGUUUCCCACCUCUACCCGCGGUCAUACGUCUGACGUAUGGCCCAUUUAGGCGAUGUUCCAGCUAAACGGCUUGAAUUAAUACCACUAAUGGUUCAUCGACUAGCAACUUUACCCCAUGGCAUGGGCGUCGACACGUCUUAUGUUUUAACCACGCGCUAGUGGGUCGUCUUGAUUGCCCGAAAUGACGUGAUGUCGAACGUAUUCCUUAAAAUACGGUGCGGUUUGACCGCAGCACCCGAGAUUUAUACUGUCGUGCGGAACCAGUCUCAUCUGUUGGUGUGUGUGUGUGUGUAUUGCUCAUGCGCAGUGAACUGGCAGUAUCGUGGAGCGCGACAAUGUAAUCGGAGUUAGAUGUCUACGAAGCCGGGAGGAGUUUGAUAGUUACAACCACUUGAAUUUCUUUCAAAACUAAUUCUCUUUAGAUUGAUCGAACAACCAUUUAAAUUUCUCAAUAUUUUCUAUACCCUUUAUUUUUGCAACAAGCAUUGCAAACGAUUCUGAUAGCUCUGAUAACUGUGUUUUUGAUAACUCUGAUGUUAUCAAGUAUUCCCAGGUUAGCAUAAGAUAUGCUAAUUCGUCAAUUUGUGCUUAGUGUCAAUGAUAUAUAGGUCGUAGAAAGUUAGCUUAGCCGAUGGCUUGCUUAUAGCCUAGGCUAACGGCGCCGGAUUAAUUUUUGCUUAGUGUCGAUGAUAUAUAGGUCGUAGAAAGUUAGCUUAGCCGAUGGCUUGCUUAUAGCCUAGGCUAACUGGCGCCGGAUUAAUUUUUGCUUAGUGUCGAUGAUAUAUAGGUCGUAGAAAGUUAGCUUAGCCGAUGGCUUGCUUAUAGCCUAGGCUAACUGGCGCCGGAUUAAUUUUUGCUUAGAGUCGAUGAUAUAUAGGUCGUAGAAAGUUAGCUUAGCCGAUGGCUUGCUUAUAGCCUAGGCUAACGGCGCCGGAUUAAUUCUUGCUUAGUGUCAUUGAUAUAUAGGCCUUAAAAAAUUAGCUUAGCCGACGGCUUGCUUAUAGCCUAGGCUAACGGCGCCGAAUCAACUUAUGCCUAUUGGUACUGAUAUAUAAACCUGAAAAAAUUAGUUUAGCCGAUGGACCUUUUCUGUCGUCCAGGUGGUUUGUACUUAGCAUGGCAUGUCCAGCUAAGUUUUUAUCAUGGAGCAAUUUUAUGCGAACAUGAUCUUGGCAACUUAAACUGAAGACAUAAACUGUUUGUUCUUGUAAAAGUCAUCAUGACCUGAAUUAAUUCAAAUUGAUUUUAUAACCACAGCGGUCGGUUGAAGUGAUUCCUUAUUUUCACAACCACUCGAAUUUCUUUCAAAAUAUCUUAUGAUUUUAUUCUGCUAAGCAUUUAUUAUGCAAAAAUCGGCCACAAUACUUAUAAUUCAAAGGAAGCCAUGUUUACAAUAUUUGCAACGUUUUUGCAGAUUUAUGGGCAUUUCGAAGAUAAUGCGAGAGUUAAAUUUUGAUUUUGACAAUUAUGUUGCAAUGUUAGGAUAUGUUCCAUCUCUGGUUGGAUAUCCAACCUAGAGAGAAACAUAAUGAGCUUUUGUGCUCAUCUAAAAUUUUCAUGUUGGCAGUUGUGGUUACGAUAAGUCGUGAUGUUAGUUGGCCAGCUGAUCCUAUGUUGUAUCCAGCGUAUACUGCAGAUGAAAGAGCCUGCAAGGUGUGAUAUUAUCACUACGGAAAUAUAUUCUUAAUGUAAAAUGAAUGUUCAAACUGACAAGAGAUGGAAAUAUAUAUAUUAUAUGGAACAUA